UCCCUAGGUGGGCAUUGAGGCUCCUGA
rnacentral:sRNA from 1 species